GGUGCUGUGGUGCAGUGGGUUAACACCCUGGCCUGAAGUGCCGGCAUCCCAUAUGGGUUCCGGUUCGAGACCCAUCUGCUCCU
rnacentral:tRNA from 1 species